AUUGAACGCUGGCGGCAGGCUUAACACAUGCAAGUCGAGCGGGGGAAGGUAGCUUGCUACCGGACCUAGCGGCGGACGGGUGAGUAAUGCUUAGGAAUCUGCCUAUUAGUGGGGGACAACAUCUCGAAAGGGAUGCUAAUACCGCAUACGUCCUACGGGAGAAAGCAGGGGAUCUUCGGACCUUGCGCUAAUAGAUGAGCCUAAGUCGGAUUAGCUAGUUGGUGGGGUAAAGGCCUACCAAGGCGACGAUCUGUAGCGGGUCUGAGAGGAUGAUCCGCCACACUGGGACUGAGACACGGGCCAGGCUCCUACGGGAGGCAGCAGUGGGGAAUAUUGGACAAUGGGGGGAACCCUGAUCCAGCUAUGCCGCGUGUGUGAAGAAGGCCUUAUGGUUGUAAAGCACUUUAAGCGAGGAGGAGGCUACUCUAGUUAAUACCUAGGGAUAGUGGACGUUACUCGCAGAAUAAGCACCGGCUAACUCUGUGCCAGCCGCCGCGGUAA
rnacentral:rRNA from 1 species